rfam:Myotis lucifugus cont2.44277, whole genome shotgun sequence.
GAGACACCCCUAUGAGGCAGGACUUGCUUCAGUGGGGCUUUGGUGCUCACUGAGUCUGCCCCUCGAGUGUGUUGCU